rnacentral:snRNA from 12 species
AUACUUACCUUUGACAGUGCUGUAGUCGAUCAUGAAGGACUAUGCAUGUGUAGUGGAGCUGAGCAGUUCACGGUUUUAACCAGCUUGUACGUGAUGCUACACUACUCAGUGCACUAGCAUUGAGUUUGUCAAUAAUUUUUGACCAGGUGUGAUGGCGCUUGCGCCUCAUGCC